rnacentral:rRNA from 1 species
GACGAACGCUGGCGGCGCGCCUAACACAUGCAAGUCGAGCGAGAACCAGGGCUUGCCCUGGGGACAGCGGCGAACGGGUGCGUAACACGUGAGCAACCUGCCCCAAAGACCGGGACAACCCGAGGAAACUCGGACUAAUACCGGAUGCCCUCACCGGGUCGCAUGGUCUGGUGAGGAAAUGGAUUCCGCUUUGGGAUGGGCUCGCGGUCUAUCAGCUUGUUGGUGGGGUAACGGCCUACCAAGGCGACGACGGAUAGCUGGUCUGAGAGG